GGCUCAGUAGCGCAAUUGGCAGCGCAGCGGAUUCCAAAUCCGAAGGUUGGAGGUUCGAUUCCUUCCUGGGUCGCCA
rnacentral:tRNA from 2 species